rnacentral:rRNA from 1 species
UCGGGAAUUUUGGGCAAUGGGCGAAAGCCUGACCCAGCAACGCCGCGUGAGGGAUGAAGUAUUUCGGUAUGUAAACCUCGAAAGAAUGGGAAGAAUAAAUGACGGUACCACUUAUAAGCUCCGGCUAACUACGUGCCAGCAGCCGCGGUAAUACGUAGGGAGCAAGCGUUGUUCGGAUUUACUGGGCGUAAAGGGCGCGUAGGCGGCGCGGUAAGUCACUUGUGAAAUCUCUGAGCUUAACUCAGAACGGCCAAGUGAUACUGCUGUGCUAGAGUGCGGAAGAGGCAACCGGAAUUCUUGGUGUAGCGGUGAAAUGCGUAGAUAUCAAGAGGAACACCUGAGGCGAAGGCGGGUUGCUAGGCCGACACUGACGCUGAUGCGCGAAAGCCAGGGGAGCAAAC